GACAGCUUGGCCGAGCGGUUAAGGCGAUAGACUCGAGCGGUUAAGGCGAUAGACUCGAAAUCUAUUGGGGUAACCCGCGUGAGUUCAAGUCUCACAGCUGUCG
rnacentral:tRNA from 3 species